CCAACGUACGCGUAAUAUGUACGCCGGUCGAUACUUUGCUUACGUAUAGUGCAAGGACUCGAUGAGGAGCUUAUUUCGGUUAUAAUUAUUCGCAGUGUCAUUGAUCCAAAUAUUAGGGCUACGGCGACAAAUGCUAAACUAUUUCCGAAUGAUUUAGUCGAAUUCUUUUCAAUCUAUGUUAAACCAAAUACAAUUAGUGUUUCGAGACAACUAUACUCGCGUUCGGAAUUGUGAAACGUUACGACAGAUAGACGAUCUCUGGAGUAUUCACGUAAACGUAAUCUGAGUGAUAUCAGGUGCUUUAUCUGUGGGCAGUUGGGGCAAAAAGAAGCUUUGUGUAGUAAGAGACCCAAAAUCGAACGGUUAUCAGGGAGUUUAUCAAAUAGUGAGGGCGUUAAGUUAUCUAGGCUCAAAUCAUGCACAUAUUUUAUGAAUUAAUGGUGAUGAUUGUUCAGUCUGAUGUUUCGAUGACAAUUGAUACACCUCUGGUAGGUAACUAUUUAGAGAGGGUUACUAAGAGGAUAAUUAAUGAAUGCUCUCGGUACUUGAUUACGGGAACUGCUACAUCAACCGUAAACAUAGGUAGCAUGUCAAUUAAACUUAAAUCCAGCAUUCCUGUGUAUAAUCGGUCAUAUCAACUCUCACACGCUGAAACGAUCCGUGGUCGUGACAUAAUAACAGAUUUGCUUGAAAAGCAAAUAAUAAAGGAAUGCUCGUUUUUAGCUACCACUAUUGAAUACCUGGGUCGUACGAUUAGUAAAGGUCAGGAUAGGCCAAGUCGUCAGAAAGUGCGGGCCUUAAUUGAUUCAGCCGAACAAAAAAAAUCUUAAGCAAGUAAGGCAAUUUCUGGGGUUAGCUAGCUAUUUUAGGCGGUAUAUAGUUGGGUUGGCCCAAAGGGCUGCUUGCAUAGCGGCACUUACUAAAAAUUAACUUUCAUUGAGGUGCUGAAAAACAGGCCGCUCGUGACUACAUCAUAGAUUGUCUUACAAGUGAGCCAGUACUCGCCAUGUAUGAUCCUACGCUGCCAAUAGAAAUACUACACAGAUGCGAGCUCGAUUGGUUACGGAGUCGUCAUGAUGAGAGUGCAUAAGGGAAAUCGUAAACGAGUACUGCCUUAUUGUAGUAGACUCACUCAGGGGGCUGAGAGGAAGUAGCACUCAUACGAACUGAAGACGCUGGCAGUGAUUAAGGUAUUAGAGUAUUUCAGGCAUUAUCUUGUGGUUGCACACUUCAUCGUGGUUACUGACUGUAACGCGUUAAAACUUACCCAACGUAAGAAAGACUUGUUGCCAAGGGUGGCUCGGUGGUGGGUAUAUCUCCAAGAAUUCGAUUCUAACCUGGAAUAUAGAAAAGGUUGUUUUUUUGUCCCAUGCAGAUUAUCUUAGCCGCAAUCCGGUUAACUUAUGUACCAUUAAAAGACCGCUAAAUUGGGCGCAAGUUGCUCAGGCUUCUGACGAGAAAACUCACUCUCUAAAACAAAAACUGGUGAAUGGGCAGUUAAACCUCAGUCGUUAUGACAUCCUUUAAGUCAAGCUCUCACCUAUUGGUGAAAAUCCUAAUUUUUGUUGUUAUAUUCCAAAAGGCCAUAGACUGUCUUAUGUGUAUUUUCACGACGAACAUGAUCAUCAAGGGGUUGAUAAAACUGUAGACUUGAUAACAAAACACUUUUAGUUCCCAGGGUUGAGAACAUUUGCAAAGAAAAAAAAAAUACAUUUCCCAUUGUUUGGUUUGCCUUUCUCAUAAAAAGGUAGCUCGUGCUCUUUCACGGCUCAUUCAUUCAUGGGAGAAAACCAGACGUAGCAUUUGAGGCAGUCCAUAUGGACACCUUGGGCCCCCUACCAGAAACUGACGGUCACCGUCAUGUACUUAUUAUUAUAGACGCGUUUUCAAAAUUUUGUUUAUUGUAUCCCAUGUUCCGACAAGACACUGACGAACUAAAGCAACACUUCACUACCAUGGUGUCUCUCUUUGGAACUCCAAAAUUAAUUGUCACUGAUCGGGGACGCAUGUUUCAAUGUUUCAAAGCACUGAUUUCCUUAAUUGGGUCAAGGACUUGGCCAGCUGUUUUGUUGAGGUUACAGCUGAUCCUAAACAUAACAAAACGCAAGACAACUCGAUAUUCUGCUUUAAACCUGCUUAUAGGUGCUGAAGCUGCCACACCGCUCAUACGUAGUUUGAUACGAGACGUUACUGUUGAAGGCUCAAGUGGUAAUCGAGAAGUCCUUCGUCAAAUGAGUCGUCAGAGGGCAUCUAAACUCCUUCGUGCCAACUAAACUCGUCAAGAUGCCUAUGCUAACUAGAGACGUAAACAGCUAACUCUUUUGAACUAAAUUCCUUAGUUUUUGUUAGCAAGGUGGCUCAGACAACAAGGAAGCUGGACUCAUGUAUGCGGGGACCACACCGGGUUAUGAAGACACUAUCACACUGCCGAUAUGAGCUGCAGAUGUUAGCUGGCUCAUACGGCAAAUCGACUCGAGCAGCUGCGGAAUAUAUGGUCCCGUGGAAGUGAGAAUGGACUCCCGAUGUGUGUUCUGCUUUCUUUGAUGAGAACCAGGAUUGUGAUGAAGAGGUGAAAUAAAUAGCCUACUUUAUGUCACUUUCCGUGUAUAAUAGUGCAUGAACGUGACGUAUGUCUGCGUGUUGAAAGUCCGAGCCGACAGUCGUCAGCAUCUCCACCCGUUUCUUGAUUUAUAAAAUGUAAAUUAAAACUAUAGUCAUCGAGUCCUCUCGAGUGAAACCAUUUUGUGUAUCGAGAAUAAAGUUUAUUUUAUAAAUCGAAUAACAACUAUUAUAAUUUGGCCUCCCUCGCAUCGCCCACGACGCCGAGGCGCUGCGCCCUUCGUCCGCCGUGUGCUCAUAGCCUAAUCAUGACACCAAGUUAUAAAAACUCGCGAAACUUCGAAAUCGGAACCCUAGUACUAGUUCGCGCCAAAAAAAUUACACCAUCGACUAUCGACUGCGAAGGAGCGCCUCCCGCCUCGAGCUAAGAGGUUCCGACGUCGAAGCUCGGCUUCAGUGCACUCUUCAUAUCUGAAACGUCGAAGGCACAACACGUUGUAUGGUCGACCGUGCCUCGCUCCCGACACGACUCACGGGCAACCGAGCAGGAGCUCACGGAGCCGGAGAUGACCGGUUUUGUGCAUUCUCUGUCGCUCCCGGAUGAACCUAGUCCGAGGCGAUCCUCUUACAAAAAGUUAUAUAAAUGUAGAUCGAAUAUAAUAUACUUCACUUACGUUAACAAUUGUCAAAAAGGACGGUUCAAAUCUAAACACAAUACUAAAAUAGAAAAUACUUUGUUUUAUAAAAUAUCAUACAACGACGUAAAGAGAUCUCCGCGUCGCCCACGGGAGAGUGCACUGAUCGGCCCCGGCCCGGCCUUCCCGCGGCUCGGGGCCUGACGACCCUCCGCACGCACGUCCCCGGACACCUACGACGGCCCGGAGAGAACGCUACAUCCGUAGCUCGGGAGACUUACUGGUACACUUCCUACGACUAUAUUUACAGGAGACAUUCCGGUAGCCUCUGGGAGCCCGCCGGCUUGGUGUGCUUGGCGAAAUGUCAAACAGUAAGAACACAAUACAACCAUGUCACAAACACCGCCCAGUUUAAUAUAUUAAUGUAAAAUAAAUAUCAUUUCAUGUAUAACAAUAUUUUUUCGUCCAAAAUAAACUCGACAAUCUUUAAUUUUCUUUUUUGUUUGUAAUUUUUCUUCACGUAUAUCGAACCGUGUCGUUCCUCUGUAUCAUAUAAACGAUAACUUAAUGAUUAUGCUCGUUUCUUCUUAUAUUUUUUUCGUCAUUUAGGCGCCCGAAAAUCUUUUUCUAAAUCAUAAAUUAUUU